UACGGAGGGUGCGAGCGUUAUCCGGAAUUACUGGGUUUAAAGGGUGCGUAGGCGGUUAUGUAAGUCAGCAAGUGAAAUUCCACAGCUUAACUGUAGGGACUGCUUUUGAUACUGCAUAACUUGAACCAAGAUGAGGUAGGCGGAAUGUGGCAUGUAGCGGUGAAAUGCAUAGAUAUGCCAUAGAACACCGAUUGCGAAGGCAGCUUACUAGACUUGUGUUGACGCUGAGGCACGAAAGCGUGGGGAGCGAACAGG
rnacentral:rRNA from 1 species